rnacentral:rRNA from 1 species
AACGAACGCUGGCGGCAUGCCUAACACAUGCAAGUCGAACGAGACCUUCGGGUCUAGUGGCGCACGGGUGCGUAACGCGUGGGAAUCUGCCCUUGGGUUCGGAAUAACAGUUGGAAACGACUGCUAAUACCGGCUGAUGACGUACGUCCAAAGAUUUAUCGCCCAGGGAUGAGCCCGCGUAGGAUUAGCUAGUUGGUGGGGUAAAGGCCUACCAAGGCGACGAUCCUUAGCUGGUCUGAGAGGAUGAUCAGCCACACUGGGACUGAGACACGGCCCAGACUCCUACGGGAGGCAGCAGUGGGGAAUAUUGGACAAUGGGCGAAAGCCUGAUCCAGCAAUGCCGCGUGAGUGAUGAAGGCCUUAGGGUUGUAAAGCUCUUUUACCCGGGAUGAUAAUGACAGUACCGGGAGAAUAAGCCCCGGCUAACUCCGUG